CUUGUACUCCCUUCGUCCGAAAAUACUUGUCACUGAAAUGGAUGUAUCUAGAUGUAUUUUAGUUCUAGACACAUCCAUUUUGAUGACAAGUAAUUCCGGACGGAGGGAGUACUUG
rnacentral:pre_miRNA from 1 species